rnacentral:rRNA from 1 species
UCUAGCUCUGGUCGAGCGGGGGCGGGGAGAGGGAGGGGGCGGGCGGUGGCGGGAAUCACUGGGGGGAAAGGGCGCGUAGGCGGCGCGGGAAGUCAACGGUGAAAGUUCAGGGCUCAACCCUGAGGCGGCCGUCGAUACUCUCGUGCUCGAGCACUGUAGAGGCAGGGGGAAUUCCGGGUGUAGCGGUGGAAUGCGUAGAGAGCCGGAAGAACACCGGUGGCGAAGGCGGCCUGCUGGGCAGUAGCUGACGCUGAGGCGCGACAGCGUGGGGAGCAAACAGGAUUAGAUACCCGAGUAGUC